rnacentral:rRNA from 1 species
CGAACCCUUCGGGGUGAGUGGCGCACGGGUGCGUAACACGUGGGAAUAUACACAUAGGUAAGGAAUAACACAGAGAAAUUUGUGCUAAUACCUUAUAAUAACUCCGGUUCAAAGAUUUAUCGCCUAUGGAUUAGCCCGCGCUAGAUUAGUUUGUUGGUGAGGUAAAAGCUCACCAAGACUACGAUCUAUAGCUGGUCUUAGAGGAUGAUCAGCCACACUGGAACUGAGACACGGUCCAGACUCCUACGGGAGGCAGCAGUGAGGAAUAUUGCGCAAUGGAGGAAACUCUGACGCAGCCAUGCCGCGUGAAUGAAGAAGGCCCUAGGGUUGUAAAAUUCUUUCAGAUGCGAAGAUAAUGACGGUAACAUCAGAAGAAGCUCCGGCUAAAUUCGUGCCAGCAGCCGCGGUAAUACGAAUGGAGCGAGCGUUGUUCGGAAUCAUUGGGCGUAAAGCGUAUGUAGGCGGACUAGAAAGUCAGAAGUGAAAUCCCGAGGCUCAACCUCGGAAUUGCUUUUGAAACUCCUAGUCUAGUGUCCCGGAGGGGUUGACGGAAUUCCUAGUGUAGAGGUGAAAUUCGCAGAUAUUAGGAGGAACACCAGUGGCGUAGGCGGUCAACUG